rnacentral:rRNA from 1 species
GCCAGAGCCAUAUCAUCUUGCAGCUCUUGCCUCAUUUCCCACUGAAGUUAAGCAAGGUUGAGCCUGGCUAGUACCUGGAUGGGAGACCUCCUGCGGAAAACUAAGGUUGGUGCUGGAA